rnacentral:tRNA from 1 species
GGAGAGUUGACCGAGUUGGUUAAGGUGACAGACUUAAGUCGAGGGAUUCAUUUCCUUUCAAAAGAGUAAUCUGUUGGUAUGUUUACCGCGCGAGUUCGAAUCUCGUACUCUUCAUUAUCUUUUU